rnacentral:rRNA from 1 species
AGCAGCCGCGGUAAUUCCAGCUCCAAUAGCGUAUAUUAAAGUUGUUGCAGUUAAAAAGCUCGUAGUUGAAUUUCGGGGUCAGUAGGUUGGUCGUGCCACUGGUAUGUACUGGCCUCACUGAUUCCUCCUUCUUGUAGAACCGUAAUGCCAUUAAUUUGGUGUUGCGGGGAAACAGGACUGUUACUUUGAAAAAAUUAGAGUGUUUAAAGCAGGCUAACGCUUGAAUACAUUAGCAUGGAAUAAUGAAAUAGGACGUUCGAUCCUAUUUUGUUGGUUUCUAGGAUUGACGUAAUGAUUAAUAGGGAUAGUUGGGGGCAUUAGUAUUCAAUUGUCAGAGGUGAAAUUCUUGGAUUUAUUGAAGACUAACUACUGCGAAAGCAUUUGCCAAGGAUGUUUUCAUUAAUCAAGAACGAAAGUUAGGGGAUCGAAGACGAUCAGAUACCGUCGUAG